CAGCCGCCGCGGUAAAACCAGCACCUCAAGUGGUCAGGAUGAUUAUUGGGCCUAAAGCAUCCGUAGCCGGAUCCAUAAGUUUUCGGUUAAAUCUAUGCGCUUAACGUAUAGGCUGCCGGAAAUACUGUGGAUCUAGGGAGUGGGAGAGGUAGACGGUACUCGGUAGGAAGAGGUAAAAUUCACUAAUCUAUCGAUGACCACCUGUGGCGAAGGCGGUCUACCAGAACACGUCCGACGGUGAGGGAUGAAAGCUGGGGGAGCAAACCGGAUUAGAUACCCGGGUAGUCCCAGCUGUAAACAAUGCAAACUCAAUGAUGCAUCGGGUUGAACCCGGUGCAGUGUUGCAGGGAAGCCGUUAAGUUUGCCGCCUGGGAAGUACGUACGCAAGUAUGAAACUUAAAGGAAUUGGCGGGGGAGCAC
rnacentral:rRNA from 1 species